rnacentral:tRNA from 1 species
GGAUGUAGCUCAGUGGUAGAGCACUUGCCUAGAAUGCACAAGGCCAUGGGUUUGAUGCCCAUCACCA